rnacentral:rRNA from 1 species
GACGAACGCUGGCGGCGUGCCUAAUACAUGCAAGUCGAACGCAGUGGGGACGGGUGAGUAACCCGUGGGUAACCUCCCAUCAGAGGGGAUAACCCUUGGAAACAGGUGCUAAACCGAUAUUGCUGGCUGGACCCGGGGUGCAUUAGCUAGUUGGUGAGGUAACGGCUCACCAAGGCCACGAUGCAUAGCCGGUCUGAGAGGAUGAUCGGGCACACUGGGACUGAGACACGGCCCAGACUCCUACGGGAGGCAGCAGUAGGGAAUCUUCGGCAAUGGGCGAAAGUCUGACCGAGCAACGCCGCGUGAGUGAAGAAGGUUUUCGGAUCGUAAAACUCUGUUGGUAGAGAAGCGGUAUCUAACCAGAAAGCCACGGCUAACUACGUGCCAGCCGCCGCGGUAAUUC